GACGAACGCUGGCGGCGUGCUUAACACAUGCAAGUCGAACGAAGUGGCGAACGGGUGAGUAACGCGUAAUCAACCUGCCCUUCAGAGGGGCACAACAGUUGGAAACGACUGCUAAUACCGCAUACUGAAGGAGGGGAUUGCGUCUGAUUGGGUGGUUGGGGGGGUAACGGCCCACCAAGGCGAUGAUCAGUAGCCGGUCUGGGAGGAGGGACGGCCACAUUGGGACUGAGAAACGGGCCAGAAUCCCACGGGAGGCAGCAGUGGGGAAUCUUCCGCAAUGGACGAAAGGCUGACGGAGCAAAGCCGCGUGAGGGAUGACGGCCUUCGGGUUGGAAAGAUCCUUUAAUCGGGACGCGGUACCGGAAUAGAAAGCCACGGCUAACUACGUGCCAGCAGCCGCGGUAAUAC
rnacentral:rRNA from 1 species